UCCAAUAGCCUAACGUCAAAGGAUGAAAUAAAAGAAUUAAAAAAAAAACCAAAAUUAAAUCGAGCUAAUCUUCAAAACCAACAACUUUGGUUAUGAGAUCAAGAUGACAAUACAAAAGACCCAAAAAAAUCUUGAACAAUAUUCUUAACCUUCAAAAAAUUAAAAAGAAAACAAAUAGUAAUAAAAAAAAUGAGAAUCAAAUCUGGUAUAAAAACUAAUAAAAGAAAAUAAUGAGAGACUUAAUUGAAAAUAAAAUAAAAAACAGAAAAAGGAUUAAAAAAAUUAAAAAAAUGAGAACUAAAAUUGGAUUAAAAAAUAAAAUAAAAUGCUGAGUGAUAAAAUUGAAAGAAAAAAAAACAAAUUCAAAAGAGGAUAAAAAAAAGAACAAUUAAAAAAAUGACAC
rnacentral:lncRNA from 1 species